GUGGGGAAUAUUGCGCAAUGGGGGCAACCCUGACGCAGCAACGCCGCGUGAGUGAAGAAGGUUUUAGGAUUGUAAAGCUCUGUCUUUGGGGACGAAACAAAUGACGGUACCCAAGGAGGAAGCCCCGGCUAACUACGUGCCAGCAGCCGCGGUAAUACGUAGGGGGCAAGCGUUGUCCGGAAUUACUGGGCGUAAAGGGCACGCAGGCGGUAUAAUAAGUCAGAUGUGAAAGUUUACAGCUUAACUGUGAAAGUGCAUUUGAAACUGAUAUACUUGAGUCUCGGAGAGGUAAGCGGAAUUCCUAGUGUAGCGGUGAAAUGCGUAGAUAUUAGGAGGAACACCGGUGGCGAAGGCGGCUUACUGGACGAGUACUGACGCUCAUGUGCGAAAGCGUGGGGAGCAAACAGGAUUAGAAACCCCUGUAGUCC
rnacentral:rRNA from 1 species